rnacentral:rRNA from 1 species
UACGAAGGUCCCAAGCGUUAUCCGGAUUUAUUGGGUUUAAAGGGUGCGUAGGCGGGUUAUUAAGUCAGUGGUGAAAGCCUUCAGCUUAACUGAAGAACUGCCAUUGAUACUGAUGAUCUUGAGUAUGAUUGAGGUGGGCGGAAUGUGUCAUGUAGCGGUGAAAUGCUUAGAUAUGACACAGAACACCGAUUGCGAAGGCAGCUCACUAAGCCAUAACUGACGCUGAUGUACGAAAGCGUGGGGAGCAAACAGG